UACGUAGGUGGCGAGCGUUGUCCGGAUUUACUGGGCGUAAAGGGAGCGUAGGCGGUUUUUUAAGUGGGAUGUGAAAUCCCCGGGCUUAACUCGGGAAUUGCAUUCCAUACUGGGAGACUAGAGUGCAGGAGAGGAAAGUGGAAUUCCAAGUGUAGCGGUGAAAUGCGUAGAGAUUUGGAGGAACACCAGUGGCGAAGGCGACUUUCUGGACUGUAACUGACGCUGAGGCUCGAGAGCGUGGGGAGCAAACAGG
rnacentral:rRNA from 1 species